GCACCUGUAGCUUAGUGGAUAGAGCGUCUGUUUCCUAAGCAGAAAUUCGUAACUUCGACCCUUACCUAGUGCG
rnacentral:tRNA from 1 species